UGGGGAAUAUUGCACAAUGGGCGCAAGCCUGAUGCAGCCAUGCCGCGUGUAUGAAGAAGGCCUUCGGGUUGUAAAGUACUUUCAGUCGGGAGGAAGGUGUCAAGGUUAAUAACCUUGGCAAUUGACGUUACCGACAGAAGAAGUACCGGCUAACUCCGUGCCAGCAGCCGCGGUAAUACGGAGGGUGCAAGCGUUAAUCGGAAUUACUGGGCGUAAAGCGCACGCAGGCGGUUGAUUGAGUCAGAUGUGAAAUCCCCGGGCUUAACCCGGGAAUUGCAUCUGAUACUGGUCAGCUAGAGUCUUGUAGAGGGGGGUAGAAUUCCAUGUGUAGCGGUGAAAUGCGUAGAGAUGUGGAGGAAUACCGGUGGCGAAGGCGGCCCCCUGGACAAAGACUGACGCUCAGGUGCGAAAGCGUGGGGAGCAAACA
rnacentral:rRNA from 1 species